rnacentral:lncRNA from 1 species
GUUUAGUCUCAGAAUAUUAAAUGUAGCAUGAUGUCUUUUUUUAAAAAAAAACAGCUUUUGUCUUUUUUAUGUUAUUUACAUACAAUAUAAUUUAUCACUUUUAAGUGUACUGUUUAAUGAAUUUUGAUAAUUGUCAGAUAGUAUUAUCACUGUCACCAUCAAAAUAUAGAAGAAAAUUCCAUCUCCUAAAAAGUUCCCUUGUGCUCCUUUGCACAAUUCCCUUUGCCCCUCCCUGGUCCCAGGUAGUCACUGAUCUGCUUUCUGUCACUAUGGUUUUGCCUCUUCUAGAGUUUCAUAUUGUGGGAGAUAGAGUUGAUUUACAGCUGCAUUGCGAAAGCUCUGUCUUUAUCUGGAUGUCUUGUUUUUCACUCUUGGCCAAGAUUAGCCCUGAGCUCUGCCGCCAAUCCUCCUCUUUUUGCUGAGAAAGCCUGGCCCUGAGCUAACAUCUGUGCCCAUCUUCCUCUACUUUAUAUGUGGGACGCCUACCACAGCAUGGCUUGCCAAGCAGUGCCAUGUCCGCACCUGGGAUCCGAACCAGCAAACCCGGGCCGCUGAAGCGGAACAUGUGAACUUAACCGCUGCACCACUGGGCCGGCCCCUGGUUUUCUCUUUCUGACUCUUACAUGUUUUCCCUGAUGGAGAAGGCCACCUGGCAAAAAGCUGAGGGCAGCCUCCAGUCAUCAUCGAGGAACUGAGACCCUCAGUCCUGCAACCCUCAAGGAACUGAAUCCUGCCAACAGCCACGUGAGUGUGGAAAAAGAUCCUUCCCCGGUUGAGCCUUGAGAUGACUGCAGCCCCAAAUGAUAUCUUAAUCGCAGCCUCAAAUGAUAUCUUAAUUGCAGCUUGGUGAGACAUCCUAAACCAGACAACUCAGCUAGGCCAUGCCCGAAUUCCUGAUCCACAUAAACUGUGAGACAGUAAAUGAUACAUCUUGUUUUAAGCCACUAAGAUUUAGGGUAAUUUAUUACACAACAAUAGAUAACCAAUACAGUAUUGCACUCUGAUAUUUUCUAGUCUUUAGAAGUUGGAGUGGACAUUGUGGUUCCCUCCUUGUCAUCCAUGUUCCUGUAAUGCUUGUCAGUCUUAUAGUUUGGGUGGAAGCAACCCUACCCCUUGCCCCAAAAUGGGUUCUGACUGGUCUAACCCUGUUGGGGUAAACCCUUCCCUCUUGUCUCAGCAACUGAUUCAGUGGAUCAGAGUAAAACUAAGGACUUUUGUUCAAGGGUUGUGGGAAGUAAUGCUUUCUUCCUGGCUGAAAAUGAGGAAGCAUUGCUGCUUGACAGCCAUCUUGGGACCAUGAGAAAAACCAGCCUGAGGGUAAAGCUGAUACCAGAUUUGCCAUGUCGUUCCCAUCACAGUGAUCAUGGAAACAUUUGUUGAGAUGGAACGUACAUCAGCUUGAGUCCCCAAGUAACUGUGUGGAGCAGACCGCCAUGGGCCUGAAUUAGACAUGUGCCGAGAGUGAAGGCAAAACCAGGAGUAUUGCAGAGAAU